GGAAAGCAAUAGCCCAGCUUCAAAAGUUGGUUCUUACCCUGGCCUCUGCUGACCCAAGACCCAGUUUCCCAAGGACAUGUUCUCUCUGCCAGGGCAAAUUUGAAGACUCCUUUGUGUACGAAAUAAGGAACAUGUUCUAUCACUGAUGUCCUCAGUGAAGAUGUCCAGCUGGUUUUAUCUACUUCUACCUCGGUCCUGGGUUGGGGUGACAGGAGAAAUACGGAGAAGGAACAGCAACAGUUCAGAGAAUAUUGGCUUCACGAGGACACCUUCUUGAUCUCUAUGUCCUUUAUACAGUCACCACCAUUUAACAUGAUGCCUGACCCAUGGAAGCCUGAAGAGGAGCAGAAAGUAGAAAUAUCUGUAUAUACCAAGAAAAGCAGAUUUUAAACAUCUUCAGUAAUAGAGAAACACCAAUAAUGGCACGUGACUGUGUUCUCCCCUCACUCCUUCUGUCUCCUGACCGCAGUGCCUCCCUGUGUGGCACUACAUGGCAUGACCUCCCUAUCCUCUCGAGAAUUACAAAUAACAAACUGUCUUUUCAAUAGUCUGAAUAAUAACCAAACCUACAUUUUAAAACACUAGAGAUGACUAAAAUGAGAAAAGAGAGAAGUGGCUAGCAAGGACGUCAAAAAAGGCAUAAUUCUGAAUGAAGACAUUCAACUAAACGCAGAUACCACAGCUUUUCAGGAAUUUUGGGAAAGUCAUUUUUUAAUAAAGGAUUUGUCUAUUGAGCAGUGCAAGUAAGGUUGAACUGAAUGUUGCAAGGAAUAUACCAAAUCCUGACUUGAUCCCUAAAGUUCUAGGAAACACCAAGGGAUUGUAAGAAGAAGUUACCAGAUAUUUUUCUGGUAUUUAUUUGCCAUGGGGGUAAUUUGAAAUUUAAAUUAAACCUGAGGCCAGGCGUAAUGGCUUACGCCUGUAAUCCCAGCUCUUGGGGAGGCUGAGGUGGGUGGAUCACUUGAGGUCAGGAGUUCAAGAUCAGCCUGGCCAACAUGGUGAAACCCUGUCUCUACUAAAAAUACAAAAAUUAGCUGGGCAUGGUGACGUGUGCCUGUAAUCGCAGCCAUUCGGGAGGCUGAGGCAGGAGAAUCACUUGAACCUGGGAGGCAGAGGCUGCAGUGAGCCAAGAUCACGUAAUUGCACUCCAGCCAGUCUCAAAAAUUAAUUAAUUAAUUAAUUAAACCUUGGUAGACAAUUAACAAUGUGUAGAGGUUAAAUAAGAUUUAACCCUGGAGAGAAUUACCAGGAACAGGAAAUUGUGAGAGGAAAAUUUCGUUUCAUUCGUGAUGACCAGGUGGAAGAGUUGCUGAAGUGGGUUUCUAAAUGACACAAUGGUAGAGUGAAAAAGGGUGGCAGAUGCUGCUGCAUCAGUAGGAUGAGAGUACAGAAAAAGCUGUGUAUGGAGAGAGAUGGAGGGGGAAGGGUUGGUGCCUGUGUUUUAACCAUCAAUAAGAGGAGUUAUAGAAGAAAGAAGUUCACAGUGCUGCAGGAAAAAUACCAAGUAAGCAGAGUUUCAACCCCGGAAAAAUGUGUAGGACUAGUAGAGUCUCUGUGGUUCCAAACGGGCCUCCCCUAAUGACAGGCUAGGACCAAGGGGAAUAUUUGCUGACAUCUCUAAUUCAAGUAAAUCCACAAAAUGACUCAUUUAUAACGUGGGUACAAUCUGUGCUUAGUGGCAACCAUAGUUAGGAAUGGAGGAGUUGAACUUGUGGAAAACAUAAAAGACAUUACAAAGUCACCAGAUAUUUGUCUGCUGUUUAUUUACCAUGUGGGGGCGAUUUGAUGUUUAAAUUAAAGCUCAGUAGAAGCUUCAAGUAUGAUGCCAUAGGGAUGUAGUUAACUUAGAGAAUUUUUGUUUUUAAUCUCUAAAAGGGAAAAAUAAAAUUUUCAUGAAGAGUAGCCUUCUCCCCUGCUCAGCCCCUCUUCUAUCUCCAAAAUGU
rnacentral:lncRNA from 10 species